AGCAGCCGCGGUAAUUCCAGCUCCAAUAGCGUAUAUUAAAGUUGUUGCAGUUAAAAAGCUCGUAGUUGAAUUUCGGGAUCAAGGAAUCGGUCAUGCCUUGGUAUGUACUGGUUUUAUUGGUUCUCACCUUCUAAAGAACCAUAAUGUCAUUUAUUUGAUGUUAUGGGGAAUUAGGACUGUUACCUUGAAAAAAUUAGAGUGUUUAAAGCAAGCUUACGCUUGAAUACAUUAGCAUGGAAUAAUGAGAUAGGACAUCAGAUUCUAUUUUGUUGGUUUCUAGGAUCGAUGUAAUGAUUAAUAGGGAUAGUUGGGGGCAUUAGUAUUCAAUUGUCAGAGGUGAAAUUCUUGGAUUUAUUGAAGACUAACUACUGCGAAAGCAUUUGCCAAGGAUGUUUUCAUUAAUCAAGAACGAAAGUUAGGGGAUCGAAGACGAUCAGAUACCGUCGUAGUCUUAACCAUAAACUAUGCCGACUAGGGAUCGGAUGAUGUUAAUUUUUUAAUGACUCA
rnacentral:rRNA from 1 species